rnacentral:RNase_P_RNA from 1 species
AGUGCUGGUAAUGCUUGCAUCAAGGGCAACAUACAGGUAUUUAUUACCUCCAAAGUGCCCCUGGGAAGGUCUGAGACAAAGGUCAAUCAAUCAUCAUGCAGGUGACCUCAUUAAGCUUGAGGGUGGCUCACCAGAAAAUCAGGGUGGGUGAGAUGCUAUAUGCAAGAGAUGCCAUUCCCCUCUGGGGAAGCAGAUGCUAUGUGUCUCACUUGACUUGGAAGAGUCCAUGACCAGCUAAUCUAAGUUAGAUGUGCAAGGUGGUGAACUUGUACACCAUAACUCAAUUCAGACUACUCUACCAACACU